rnacentral:misc_RNA from 1 species
UACAAUGAAAAGUUAUGGGGAUCUGGCUGUGUUCUAUUACAGACUUCAGCAUACGGAGUUGGCCCUCAAGUAUGAUUUACUCUUCUGGCUUCAAAAUUUGGGUCUGAAUGAACAAAACAUGCUUUAUACCUAUCUUGUUUUAAUAUUGUUCCAACGUUGUGGCGAGUGAUCGCCUUGUGGUCUAGGUGAUGCACGCUAUGUUCUUUCUUCUGCUGGUCAUGCUUAUGUUCAUCAUUAGAAGGGGGUCAGAAAGGUAUGUGAAGCGUGCUUUAUAUCUUCUGCAUCUCACAUGUGGCCCUUCACACCCAAACACUGCUGCAACAUACAUCAAUGUGGCCAUG